UCAGGAUGAACGCUGGCGGCGUGCUUAACACAUGCAAGUCGAACGGAGUUUUAACGGAAGUUUCGGAUGGAAGUUUAGAAACUUAGUGGCGGACGGGUGAGUAACGCGUGGGUAACCUGCCUCAGUACAGGGGGAUAACAGUUAGAAAUGACUGCUAACACCGCAUAAUAUAGCGAAACCGCAUGAUUUUGCUAUCAAAUAUUUAUAGGUAUGAGAUGGGCCCGCGUCUGAUUAGCUAGUUGGUGGGGUAAAAGCCUACCAAGGCGACGAUCAGUAGCCGGCUUGAGAGAGUGACCGGCCACAUUGGGACUGAGACACGGCCCAAACUCCUACGGGAGGCAGCAGUGGGGAAUAUUGGACAAUGGGGGAAACCCUGAUCCAGCGACGCCCGCGUGAGUGAAGAAGUAUUUCGGUAUGUAAAGCUCUAUCAGCAGGGAAGAUAAUGACAGUACCUGACUAAGAAGCCCCGGCUAACUACGUGCCAGCAGCUGC
rnacentral:rRNA from 1 species